AGAAGCAUAACCAAUACUUUAUGCACAAGAGUAAGCUAACCGUAUACCUAUGUUGAUUUGGAGAAAAGUGGUAAAUAGAUUAAUGAUAAUAGCUGAGCUCAUUUAGGAGUAUAUUUAGUUUUCACUCUUGUGAUACGUGGUGUGUGCCUUUAUUGUUGCCCAGUGGACUUGGUUAAAAGGAUGCAGUGAUGGAGUCAUUGGGAGAGUCAUUUCGCUGUCCACAGUGUAGUAUGGUAUUCCUCUCCCUCCGACUCCUGGAGAAACAUAAAGCAUUGUUCUGUAUCGGGAGCAACAUUGGAGAUCCUGUGGUGCUAAGACAAGGGCAGCCAGAGCGCAAGGGGAUCUAUCCAAAACCUGCAAGACCCAUGAUCUUAUAAGAGUAAGUGCGUUGGCUCUUAGUGUAGUGUGUGUGUGUCUGUCUAACAUCGAUUGUUUCUGACAGCUGAGAGAGCAGAGGGGUAUGCCCCUCCGGAACAUGCAGGGGAGGGCCAAUGCCACAGCAUGGAGGGCUGGGAGAGAAGACAACCUACAGGGCAGUGUGUCAGAGAGUCUAGCCUUGAGGAACCUCACUGACGAGUUUCACAAGCUGAAGAUGUCGAUUGAGGAGAGCAUGCGCAGCCUACCUAAAUGGCCAACUGAGACAAGAGUGUCUGGAGAUCAAGGUUUCAGGGAGGCAGUGGGGCCACAGGGAGAGGCUAAGAAAGCUGGCAGAGCACCAUGACCGCCAGUUAGCAGAGAUACAGGCCCACAACCACUCCUGGAGCAACAGAGAGUGGGGUCAAAGAGGUUAGGUCUGACUCACACAGCCCUACCCUGCCUGAGGACACAAAGGGACAUGUCAACUUUGACCUUAUAUCAUCUGUGGAUGGCCCCCUCUCCUCCCAAAUAAGAGCUCUGAGGCUGGCAUACAUGCAGUCCGGUGGAUCUGUUCCAGCCGUUCUGGCCCAGGUGCAUGCCUGCAGGCUGAGGCCCACACUCUGGAGCAGCAGGCCCAACCUGGGGCUGAAACCAGCUGCAGGAGGAAGAGUGUCAGUCCUGCAUGGUCUCUCAUUGGGGUAUGGAGGGUGUCACAUUUGAUGCUUUGUUUCCACCUUCAGUGAUUUGUGUCUAUUGAUCAUGUGUACAUCUACAAGACCCUGCUAGGCAAAGCCCCGCCUUAUCUCAGCUCACUGGUCACCAUAGCAGCACCCACUCGUAGCACGCUCUCCAGCAGGUAUAUCUCACUGGUCACCCCCAAAGCCAAUUCCUCCUUUGGUCGUCUUUCCUUCCAGUUCUCUGCUGUCCAUGACUGGAACGAAUUGCAAAAAUCUCUGAAGCUGGAGACUCACAUCUCCUUCACUAGCUUUAAGGAACCCUCGAUCUAUCUCUUAGUCACAUGUCUGUGGAACCUGUUCAGUUUAUGUCUCAGUUGUUGAAUCUUGUUAUGUUCAUACAAAUAUUUACACAUGUUCAUUUCGCUGAAAAUAAACGCAGUUGACAGUGG